AACGAACGCUGGCGGCAGGCUUAACACAUGCAAGUCGAACGAGAAGCUUCUUCGGAAGUGGACAGUGGCAGACGGGUGAGUAACGCGUGGGAAUUUGCCCAGAGGUUCGGGACAACCAUUGGAAACGAUGGCUAAUACCGGAUAAGCCCGAAAGGGGAAAGAUUUAUUGCCUUUGGAUGAGCCCGCGUAAGAUUAGCUAGUUGGUAGGGUAAGAGCCUACCAAGGCUACGAUCUCUAGCUGGUCUGAGAGGAUGAUCAGCCACAUUGGGACUGAGACACGGCCCAG
rnacentral:rRNA from 1 species